rnacentral:rRNA from 1 species
GUGGGGAAUUUUGGACAAUGGGCGCAAGCCUGAUCCAGCGACGCCGCGUGAGUGAUGAAGGCCUUCGGGUCGUAAAGCUCUGUUGCAGGGGAAGAACACAAUGACGGUACCCUGCUAGAAAGGAUCGGCUAACUUCGUGCCAGCAGCCGCGGUAAGACGAGGGAUCCUAGCGUUGUUCGGAAUUAUUGGGCGUAAAGCGGGUGCAGGUGGCUUGGUAAGUCAGAUGUGAAAGCCUGGGGCUUAACCCCAGAAGUGCAUUUGAUACUGCUGAGCUUGAGUGCUGGAGAGGCUAUUAGAAUUCCUGGUGUAGUGGUGAAAUACGUAGAUAUCAGGAGGAAUACCGGAGGCGAAGGCGGAUAGCUGGCCAGACACUGACACUCAGACCCGAAAGCGUGGGGAUCAAACAGGAUUAGAUACCCCUGUAGUCC